GACGAACGCUGGCGGCGUGCUUAACACAUGCAAGUCGAACGGAAAGGCCCUGCUUUUGUGGGGUGCUCGAGUGGCGAACGGGUGAGUAACACGUGAGUAACCUGCCCUUGACUUUGGGAUAACUUCAGGAAACUGGGGCUAAUACCGGAUAGGAGCUCCUGCUGCAUGGUGGGGGUUGGAAAGUUUCGGCGGUUGGGGAUGGACUCGCGGCUUAUCAGCUUGUUGGUGGGGUAGUGGCUUACCAAGGCUUUGACGGGUAGCCGGCCUGAGAGGGUGACCGGCCACAUUGGGACUGAGAUACGGCCCAGACUCCUACGGGAGGCAGCAGUGGGGAAUAUUACACAAUGGGCGGAAGCCUGAUGCAGCAACGCCGCGUGCGGGAUGACGGCCUUCGGGUUGUAAACCGCUUUCGCCUGUGACGAAGCGGGAGUGACGGUAAUGGGUAAAGAAGCACCGGCUAACUACGUG
rnacentral:rRNA from 1 species